rnacentral:rRNA from 1 species
AGCAGCCGCGGUAAUUCCAGCUCCAAUAGCGUAUAUUAAAGUUGUUGUGGUUAAAAAGCUCGUAGUUGAACCUUGGGCCUGGCUGGCCGGUCCGCCUCACCGCGUGUACUGGUCCGGCCGGGCCUUUCCCUCUGUGGAACCCCAUGCCCUUCACUGGGUGUGGCGGGGAAACAGGACUUUUACUUUGAAAAAAUUAGAGUGCUCCAGGCAGGCCUAUGCUCGAAUACAUUAGCAUGGAAUAAUAGAAUAGGACGUGUGGUUCUAUUUUGUUGGUUUCUAGGACCGCCGUAAUGAUUAAUAGGGACAGUCGGGGGCAUCAGUAUUCAAUUGUCAGAGGUGAAAUUCUUGGAUUUAUUGAAGACUAACUACUGCGAAAGCAUUUGCCAAGGAUGUUUUCAUUAAUCAGGAACGAAAGUUAGGGGAUCGAAGACGAUCAGAUACCGUCG